AUGCUGGUGUGUUUACGCCCCCGUAACUUAGCGGUUCGGCUGAAGAGACCGGUGGAAUAAGUACUAGGCUUACAAAAAAUAAGUCGAUUUGAGGUCGAUUUCUUCGACUAAAAGGCGGUACUCCAGCAUGACCCCAGCCAAAAUGACUGAAGGAAGU